rnacentral:rRNA from 1 species
CCUACGGGAGGCAGCAGUAGGGAAUAUUGCUCAAUGGGGGAAACCCUGAAGCAGCAACGCCGCGUGGAGGAUGAAGGUUUUCGGAUUGUAAACUCCUUUUGUUAGAGAAGAUAAUGACGGUAUCUAACGAAUAAGCACCGGCUAACUCCGUGCCAGCAGCCGCGGUAAUACGGAGGGUGCAAGCGUUACUCGGAAUCACUGGGCGUAAAGAGCGCGUAGGCGGGAUAGCAAGUCAGAUGGGAAAUCCUAGGGCUUAACCAUAGAACUGCAUUUGAAACUGUUAUUCUUGAGUAUGGGAGAGGUAGGUGGAAUGCGUGGUGCAGGGGUAAAAUCCAUAGAGAUCAAGAGGAAUACUCAUUGCGAAGGCGACCUGCUAGAGCAUAACUGACGCUGAUGCGCGAAAGCGUGGGGAGCAAACAGGAUUAGAUACCCCUGUAGUC